GCGUGUGGUGGAGGGGGUUUGAACAAAAAUCUGAAAAUCGAGAAAAAGGAGCGAGGAGUGAAAACCAUUGUUGGAUGCACUUGGUUUUAACCUCGACAGCGCCACCUUUCGGCAAAGCUGUUCCCGGUUGCAAGUUGAAGCCUCUUUCCCUUUGAAGACACAUCCUUUAUAAUUUUUAUUAGAGGAAAUGAAGCCUACCGAUUGAGGAAUGACUAAACAAAUUUUGAUACAAGAAUGUAAGAAAUGGUGCAUAUGAAGUGUUUACAAAAUAAUGGGAAGAUUCAUACUAACUAAUAUACCGAGAACCAGAAAAAAUGGAAAACAAUAACAUAAAGACAACAAACAGAACGAACCAACCAAUCAACCAAUCAACCACAGAAAUUCAAUGUGAUUAUAAUGAGUAAACUCAUUCCCUAAGAAGGAAUAGGAAAAUGUAUCUUAGUCUCUUUGUAGAGUGGUCAUCAGGAGAACCUGCUAAACUUAAUAUACAUGAUGAGCAUUACAAUGAGAAAUAAUACAAUAUAAUUGACUUACAGUCAAGCAGAUCUGAGUUUGAAUCCUGAUUUCAAGAAUCACUAGCAAUGGGCAAAUCCCAAACUAUCUAAGUCUCAAUUAACUCAUUUAUCAAAUAAUGAUGUAUGGAGUUUUUGUUGUAACUGGGUGGCAUAGUAGAUAGAGUACUGUUUUUAGGAUCAGGAAGAUCUGAGUUCAAAUCACUGUCACCUGUUUAGUUGUUUAGUUGUAUCUGACUCUUUGUCACCCCCAUUUAUGUAUGCUUGGCAAAGACAGUAGUUUUACCAUUUCCUUCUCUAGCUUAUUUUACAGAUGAGGAACUGAGGCAAAUAGGGAUAUGGGAUUUACAUGCAGCUAGUAAGCAUCUGAGAACAAUUUGAACCCAGGAAGAUGAGUCUUUUUGACUCUUGUCCCAGCAUUUUAUUCACUCUGCCACUUAAUUAGCUGCCCAUGAUUUUAAAUCCACCCUUACACAAUUACUACCAGUGUGAACCUAGACAAAUCACUUAACCUGUAUUUGCCUCUUUUUCUCAUCUGCAAAAUGGGUGUUAAUUUACCACCCAGUUGUGAAAA